UACGGAGGCCCCAAGCGUUGUUCGGAUUUAUUGGGCGUAAAGGGUGCGUAGGCGGCAUCUUAAGUCUGGUGUGAAAGGCGUGGGCUCAACCUACGGACUGCAUUGGAUACUGGGAUGCUGGAGGACUGGAGAGGAGAAUGGAAUUCACGGUGGAGCAGUGAAAUGCGUAGAUAUCGUGAGGAAGGCCAGUGGCGAAGGCGAUUCUCUGGACAGUACCUGACGCUGAGGCACGAAGGCUGGGGGAGCGAACAGG
rnacentral:ncRNA from 2 species